UGCUCGAGUUCCUGAUUAUAUAUAAAUAUUAAACGUUUAUGUCACAGCUGAUACAUAAUACAUGAGAAUAAUUUAUGGAUAGAAUUUAUAUUGACCUAGUUUAUGAAAAAAACAGAGAAAAAUGUUUAACGUACAAUCUCGGUUUAUAAAAUACUAACUUAAUUUCACUGCAAAUUGGCCUGUCAUUUCAAAUGUAGUCAUGGUAUUGAAGAAAUGUUAUACUUUUUAGCGAGUAUGGCCAUUGCUCGUACCACGGACAGUUUUAAAAACGCGGCGUGUGUUGUGAUAACUGUUUUCAGCUCACGUAGGUGUAUAAAGGUUCUCGCUGCAAUUUUUGAUCAAAAGAUAAGUCGCAGGAGCUAUAAAACACCAGCUAUAAAAAUACGAAUGCGCGUGUACGUUACGAUACAAUGUAUAACUAAUUAGUAAUCGAAGUCUGCAGUGUUCAUUUA